rnacentral:rRNA from 1 species
AUUGAACGCUGGCGGCAGGCCUAACACAUGCAAGUCGAGCGGAGCGGCGGACGGGUGAGUAAUGCCUAGGAAUCUGCCUGGGAGUGGGGGAUAACGUUCGGAAACGGGCGCUAAUACUGCAUACUAUCAGAUGAGACUAGGUCGGAGUAGCUAGAUGGUGGGGUAAAGGCCAACCAAGGCGACGAUCCGUAACUGGUCUGAGAGGAUGAUCAGUCACACGGGAACUGAGACACGGUCCAGACUCCUACGGUAGGCAGCAGUGGGGAAUAUUGGACAAUGGGCGAAAGCCUGAUCCAGCCAUGCCGCGUGUGUGAAGAAGGUCUUCGGGUUGUAAAGCACUUUAAGUUGGGAGGCGUUACCAGCAGAAUAAGCACCGGCUAACUUCGUGCCAGCAGCCGCGGUAAUAC